CAAUAAAUGAAAAACAAAGAGGAAUGAGAAGAAAAGAAACAAGUGAAGGAAACAGAAAGGCGCGCGCUUCACUUGCCCUUUGUUCUUUUAUCCUUUGUUUUUCUUCUCUUUCAUUCCACUACUACAUCACAAGGGUUAGGUUUAUCUGGUGUGUUCUGUUUGUUCUGUUCCUCCUUCACAUUCCAUUCGUGCUUUUCAUUACAAUGGAAAGGAAAAGAAGUGAAAAGAACAAUGGGAAAAAGAUCACCUCAUAAAAUAGAAUGUUGUGUUGGGUUCUUUGUUCUUGUUCAUUCCGUUUAAUUGUAAUGGAACGAAGAGAA
rnacentral:ribozyme from 1 species